GCUAGUUGGUCCAAAAUGCCUUCCAUGAAUCUGUUCAAGUCUUGAGCGGUUUUAAGUACUGUAGGAGAUACAUAAGGCUACAAGAAUGGCAAGUAGGAAUUCUGUUACUCCGGAGAGACUAUUCAUUAGCAGUUGCAAACACACCGAGGCCUCGAGAAAAUUGAAGUCAAGGGCUGGAUUGUAAGCGACGACAACUGGCCACUGCUGAGGCUCGUGCAUCUCCCUGGAAAACACGUGAAGAACUUUUCCUCAAAUUACAAAGCUGGCAUGAGGAGAAUGUGCAUCAUUAGAUAAAAAGAGAGCUGCUUUCUAGCAAAGUGGUGAUGGCAACUUAGAAGCUAUAGAAGAUGAGUGCUCUGUUGUGGAGGAACCUCCUUUGUUAUUUCAAUUGAGUGUCAUAGGAUAUAUUUCCUGAAAUUUACCUCUUUGAUGUUCAGUGCUGUUUGUCACACGUGGCAAGGAAACAAGCUGUUAUAUCUGUCAAAUACUCACAACAAGCUGUUCCACAUUUAGAAAUUAAGGAAAGCGACAAGGAAAAGGCGAAGAGAAGAAACUGCCCAUACUUCAUUGCCCUCCUUUUGAGUUAUGCAGCAUGAGUGGCUGUCAGAACUGUGUCAUGUUUUUCAACAUGCUGAGGAAUUAAUAACGAUGUAUGAUGAUGACUCAGCAGCCAGAGCUGCUCUGGAAUAAAUUCCAGAUGAGGGUCUCAAAGCUUUCCUAAAAAUGGAACCAAAGCUAAAAAAACAAAUCCAGACAAAUAUUUUUUCUUCUUGGUUUAUUUCUAAUAAACAAAAGUAUAAAAAAAACUGAGGUCAUUUUUAGAGCCCUGCCAAUGAUUGGUACAUGUAUAUACAGAUUACACUUAAGGUAACAUUCAUAAACUGUAACUUCAGUGAACAACAGUGACACUAAUCCUUACUUUUUACAAGGAAAUGUUUUUUUUUUUUUUUUUACUUUUUUAAAAUAA